UUAGAUCCUGGCUCAGGAUGAACGCUGAAUACGUUCCCGGGACUUGCACGUCCCGGGGCACCACUUCUGGGUGGCGACCGGUACACGGGUGAGUAACGCGUAUGCAACCUACCUCGGAAAAGGGGAUGACUGGUGGAAACGGGGAUUAAUGCCCCCUAGGGUUGUUUCUCUGCCUGGGUGAGCCGUUACUGCUCCGGCGGUUGAAGAUGGGCAUGCGUGCCAUUAGAUAGUUGGUGAGGUAACGGCUCACCAAGUCAACGAUGGCUACGGGGUCUUAAAGGAUGGUCCCGCACACUGGUACUGAGACACGGACCAGACUCCUACGGGAGGCAGCAGUGAGGAAUAUUGGUCAAUGGACGCAAGUCUGAACCAGCCAUGCCGCGUGAAGGAAGACGGCCCUACGGGUUGUAAACUUCUUUUAUAUGGGAAUAAUGUGUGCUACGUGUAGCGCUUUGAAGGUACCAUAUGAAUAAGCAUCGGCUAACUCCGUGCCAGCAGCCGCGGUAAUACGGAGGAUGCAGGCGUUAUCCGGAUUUAUUAGGUUUAAAGGGUGCGCAGGCGGCCCAGUAAGUCAGUGGUGAAAGUUUGCAGCUUAACUGUAAAAUUGCCAUUGAAACUGUUGGGCUUGAAUGCGGUAGAGGUAGGCGGAAUGUGUAGUGUAGCGGUGAAAUGCUUAGAUAUUACACAGAACACCGAUUGCGAAGGCAGCUUACUAUACCGUGAUUGACGCUGAGGCACGAAAGCGUGGGUAGCGAACAGGAUUAGAUACCCUGGUAGUCCACGCCGUAAACGAUGAUUACUGGUUGUGUGCGAUACACAGUAUGCGACUGAGGGAAACCAUUAAGUAAUCCACCUGGGGAGUACGUUCGCAAGAAUGAAACUCAAAGGAAUUGACGGGGGCCCGCACAAGCGGAGGAACAUGUGGUUUAAUUCGAUGAUACGCGAGGAACCUUACCUGGGCUUAAAUGUAGAGUGCAUUAUUUGGAAACAGAUAUUUCCUUCGGGACUCUUUACAAGGUGCUGCAUGGUUGUCGUCAGCUCGUGCCGUGAGGUGUCGGGUUAAGUCCCAUAACGAGCGCAACCCCUACUGCUAGUUGCUAACAGGUUAAGCUGAGGACUCUAGCGGGACUGCCGGUGUAAACCGCGAGGAAGGUGGGGAUGACGUCAAAUCAGCACGGCCCUUAUGUCCAGGGCUACACACGUGUUACAAUGGUCGGUACAAUGAGCAGCUACUAGGUGACUAGAUGCUAAUCUCCAAAGCCGAUCUCAGUUCGGAUCGAAGUCUGCAACUCGACUUCGUGAAGUUGGAUUCGCUAGUAAUCGGAUAUCAGCCAUGAUCCGGUGAAUACGUUCCCGGGCCUUGUACACACCGCCCGUCAAACCAUGGAAGUUGGGGGUACCUGAAGUACGUGACCGCAAGGAGCGUCCUAGGGUAAAUCUGAUGACUGGGGUUAAGUCGGAACAAGGUAGCCAAGGGCGAA
rnacentral:rRNA from 1 species